rnacentral:rRNA from 1 species
CAUGGAAGGGCCAUCGCUCAACGGAUAAAAGCUACCCCGGGGAUAACAGGCUUAUCUCCCCCAAGAGUUCACAUCGACGGGGAGGUUUGGCACCUCGAUGUCGGCUCAUCGCAUCCUGGGGCUGUAGUCGGUCCCAAGGGUUGGGCUGUUCGCCCAUUAAAGCGGUACGCGAGCUGGGUUCAGAACGUCGUGAGACAGUUCGGUCCCUAUCCGUCGUGGGCGUAGGAAAUUUGAGAGGAGCUGUCCUUAGUACGAGAGGACCGGGAUGGACAUACCUCUGGUGUACCAGUUGUCGUGCCAACGGCAUAGCUGGGUAGCUAUGUAUGGACGGGAUAAGUGCUGAAAGCAUCUAAGCAUGAAGCCCCCCUCAAGAUGAGAUUUCCCAACUUCGGUUAUAAGAUCCCUCGAAGAUGACGAGGUUAAUAGGUUCGAGGUGGAAGCGUGGUGACACGUGGAGCUGACGAAUACUAAUCGAUCGAAGACUUAAUCAAUAUU